CUGAGUGCAAACUAGCUCCAGAAACUCUACCCUGCAAAAGAAGCUUCAGUGAGAUAACCCAAUCACAAAAAGAUAAACAUGACAGUCUGGAUCCAUUUAAGCCACUUUCCCCUAACUCCUCCCACUUCAGCCCCUGGAAACUGCUCACCUGCUUUGUGUGAUGCUGUGACAAAUGAAAGCAGUUUUAUUUAUGACCAGCUUGGGAGACACUGUAUCCAAUUCAAAGAUCCUGAUGGCAAUAACUGUUCAUGACAUUGAACCAGCCAUGGAAGCCUUCUGUGAGUCUGUUUCCCCAGGCUGCAAAUGAGACUGAUGACACCUGCUUCACGUUUAAUAGUGUUUGAUAUGUAUUAGGUAGUCAAUAAAUAAUAGUAAAC
rnacentral:lncRNA from 1 species